CUCAGAUAUUUUUUUUAAAACCCAUACCCAUCUCAAAUUUUAAUUUGAUCGGAUAAAACCUAUCCCAUUUGGAUCAAAUCAGAUCAGAUAUCUGAUGGGUCGGACAAAAUUGCUAUCUCUAAUCCUUAUGAGAGUCUCUCAUAGUUUCAGACUGAGCAGACUCUAAUUUCUCAAUCUCUCCUUUUGCCUUCUUCUAUUCAGAACCUUCUUUGUUCUAUCGAGGAAGACUAACUUAGGUAUUAGAGGAUCCCCA
rnacentral:lncRNA from 1 species